AAGCCACUGACCCCUCUCA
rnacentral:misc_RNA from 1 species